UCUUCCGUAGUAUAGUGGUCAGUAUGUGAGCUUGUCAUUGACAGACUCCACUUGGUGUGAGAGGUCUGGACAUCGCUCGAGACCCGGGUUCAAUUCCCGGCGGGAGAG